GACGAACGCUGGCGGCGUGCCUAAUACAUGCAAGUUGAGCGAUGAAGAUUGGUGCUUGCACCAAUUUGAAGAGCAGCGAACGGGUGAGUAACGCGUGGGGAAUCUGCCUUUGAGCGGGGGACAACAUUGGGAAACGAAUGCUAAUACCGCAUAACAACUUUAAACAUAAGUUUUAAGUUUGAAAGAUGCAAUUGCAUCACUCAAAGAUGAUCCCGCGUUGUAUUAGCUAGUUGGUGAGGUAAAGGCGCACCAAGGCGAUGAUACAUAGCCGACCUGAGAGGAUGAGCGGCCACAUUGGGACGGUGACACGGCCCAAACUCCUACGGGAGGCAGCAGUAGGGAAUCUUCGGCAAGGGAUGAAAGUCUGACCGAGCAACGCGGCAUGAGUGUGGAAGGUUGUCGGGUCGUAAAACUCGGUUGGUAGAGAAGAACGUUGGUGAGAGUGUAAAGCUCAUCGAGUGACGGUAACUACUCAGAAAGGGACGGCUAACUACGUG
rnacentral:rRNA from 1 species